UACGUAGGCAGCGAGCGUUGUUCGGAGUUACUGGGCGUAAAGGGUGUGUAGGCGGUUGUUUAAGUUUGGUGUGAAAUCUCCCGGCUCAACUGGGAGGGUGCGCCGAAUACUGAAUGACUUCGAGUGCGGGAGAGGAGAGUGGAACUCCUGGUGUAGCGGUGAAAUGCGUAGAUAUCAGGAGGAACACCGGUGGUGUAGGCGGCUCUCUGGAACGGUACUGACGCUGAGACGCGAAAGCGUGGGGAGCGAACAGG
rnacentral:rRNA from 1 species